rnacentral:rRNA from 1 species
UCAGUGAUCAUCAAUCUUUGAACGCAAAUUGCGCUCUUGGGUAGCCCUAGGAGCACGNNNNNCNCAGUAUCGGUUCAACAAUCUCUCAGCAGCGUGUUUGUGAAAAUUUAUUUUCUUNCAGAUGCGUGUUGGCUGGAUAAUGAGAGUCUGAGCACAAUAAGAAUUUAUUUUUUUAUAUAGCUCAGUCUCUUGAAAUACAUGGAGUAAACAUGACUAGCGAUCAGUUCUAUUGCUUUCUUUUGAGAGCAAUGGAUAGUCAGCUUCUGAGCUGUCGUUCGAUUAGUGACGUGAAUAUUGGCCUUCAUUGGUCUCUAACCUUUUACGUUUAUCUACUAUCGUCUGACAAUUAAAAGUUUGGAUUUUGGCGAACGUUCGAUUUUAGUUGCAUGCUUUUAUGUGAGAAAACCAUAUGAUGACUUGUAAUUUAUUAUUNGCGAGGAGUCUGAAUUUUGAUCUGAGAUGAAGCGAGACAACCCCCUGAAUUUAAGCAUAUUAAUAAGGGGAGGAAAAGAAACUAACAAGGAUUCCC